rnacentral:rRNA from 1 species
AGCCUGAACGCUGGCGGCGUGGCUAAGACAUGCAAGUCGCACGGAUGUAGCAAUACAUCAGUGGCGCACGGGUGAGUAAUUUAUCGCUAAUGUACCCUUAAGCCAGGGAUAGCUGCCCGAAAGGGCAGGUAAUACCUGAUGAAAUAUCCUUUUCGCAUGAUGAGGAUCUCAAAGCAGCAAUGCACUUUUGGAGCAGGCGAUAUCGUAUCAGCUAGUUGGUGAGGUAACGGCUCACCAAGGCGAUGACGCGUAGCUGGUCUGAGAGGACGGCCAGCCACAUCUGGACUGAGACACUGCCCGGACUCCUACGGGGGGGCUGCAGUAACGAAUCUUCCGCAAUGCACGAAAGUGUGACGGAGCGACGCCGCGUGUAGGACGAAGUCCUUCGGAUGUAAACUACUGUCAGGGAAAGAAAGUUACUGAUCUACCCAACGAAGGAAGAAGGCGGCUAACUACUGUGCCAGCAGCCGUA